rnacentral:rRNA from 1 species
UACGUAGGUGGCUAGCGUUGUCCGGAAUCAUUGGGCGUAAAGCGCGUGUAGGCGGUCCGGUAAGUCCGCUGUGAAAGUCGGGGGCUCAACCCUCGAAUGCCGGUGGAUACUGUCGGGCUAGAGUGCGGAAGAGGCGAGUGGAAUUCCUGGUGUAGCGGUGAAAUGCUUAGAUAUGACAUAGAACACCAAUUGCGAAGGCAGCUCGCUACACAUAUAUUGACUCUGAGGCACGAAAGCGUGGGGAUCAAACAGG